rnacentral:rRNA from 1 species
UACGAAGGGGGCUAGCGUUGUUCGGAAUUACUGGGCGUAAAGCGCGUGUAGGCGGGUCUUUAAGUCAGGGGUGAAAUGCCAAGGCUCAACCUUGGAACUGCCUUUGAUACUGGAGACCUUGAGUCCGGGAGAGGUGAGUGGAAUUGCGAGUGUAGAGGUGAAAUUCGUAGAUAUUCGCAAGAACACCAGUGGCGAAGGCGGCUCACUGGCCCGGAACUGACGCUGAGACGGCGAAAGCGUGGGGAGCAAACAGGG